AACGGUCUAUACCUGCGGUACCUGCGGAAGGAUCAUUACACAAUAAUAUAUGAAGGCUGCUCGCGGCUGGAGUAUUUAUUACCCUUGUCUUUUGCGCACUUGUUGUUUCCUGGGCGGGCUCGCCCGCCACCAGGACCACAUACAAACCUUUUUUAUGUAGUUGCAAUCAGCGUCAGUAUAACAAAUGUAAAUCAUUUACAACUUUCAACAACGGAUCUCU
rnacentral:misc_RNA from 1 species